CCUACGGGGAGCAGCAGUGGGGAAUAUUGGACAAUGGGCGAAAGCCUGAUCCAGCCAUGCCGCGUGUGUGAAGAAGGCCUUCGGGUUGUAAAGCACUUUCAGUGGGGAAGAAAGCCUUGGGGCUAAUACCCUCGAGGAAGGACAUCACCCACAGAAGAAGCACCGGCUAACUCCGUGCCAGCAGCCGCGGUAAUACGGAGGGUGCGAGCGUUAAUCGGAAUUACUGGGCGUAAAGCGCGCGUAGGCGGUCUGAUAAGCCGGUUGUGAAAGCCCCGGGCUCAACCUGGGAACGGCAUCCGGAACUGUCAGGCUAGAGUGCAGGAGAGGAAGGUAGAAUUCCCGGUGUAGCGGUGAAAUGCGUAGAGAUCGGGAGGAAUACCAGUGGCGAAGCCGGCCUUCUGGACUGACACUGACGCUGAGGUGCGAAAGCGUGGGUAGCAAACAGGAUUAGAUACCCGUGUAGUC
rnacentral:rRNA from 1 species